UUAAGUUUACAUAUGUAAAUACUUCCUAACCAUUGGAAACUGUCAGCUCCGGGUGGCUUAAUAUAUUUUGAGCUCGCGCACGUUAUGAAUCUUGAUUCAUGUUACCACAAAGCCCAUAAAUUGAUUUACCGCAGCAUCCGCAGCACCAAGAAGGAAUCCUUCCACCAUGUCCCCGUUCCCGUCACCAUCUUCGUCGCAGACUUCACCUCGUCCUUUUUCGAAGCCACGUUGCCUUCCGGGAAAAUGCGUCCAAUAUUUUUCUGUUCAAAGGCAGUUUUCCAACGGGAAGGAAGCUGAGGUAACCGAGCGUCAAGUGGUUGAGCCAACAAAACUUUUGCCAGCAGAAAAAUGUCUGCUAAGGACGAACAGCUGCGUGAACUUGCUAAGAAAUGAGAACACUCGCCAAAACUAAUAAAGGCUAUUAAUGUAUUUUAAGAUUCUAAAAAAAUAUAUAUUUAUGUCAAUUAAAUUUCUUAAAAAAAAAUAAAGAAAAGAAAUAAAUGAAUAUCCUUUUCUCUAUUAGAGCAAUUUAAAUUUAU
rnacentral:lncRNA from 1 species